rnacentral:tRNA from 1 species
GAGGGUAUAGCUCAGUGGUAGUGUGCAUGCUUAGCAUGUACAAGGAUCUGGGUUCAAUCCCCAGGACCUCCA